ACUGCAUUGACUGCAGACUAGAGUCUGAGAGGGGUAGAUUCCGUGUAGCGUGAAUGCGUAGAGAUCGAGAUACCAGUGCGAGGCGGCCCCUGCCAAAGACUGACGCUCAGGUGCGAAAGCGGUGGGGAGCAAACAGGAUAGAUACCCUGGUAGUCACGCCGUAAACGAUGUCAACUUGAAGUCUGUGCCAUUUGAGCGCGGGUUUCGGAAGCUAACGGGUAAAGUUGACCGCCCUGGGGGGGUACGGCCCGCAAGGUUAAAACCUCAAAUGAAAUUGACCGGGGGCCCGCACCAAGCGGUGGGAGCAUGUGGGUUUAAUCCAAUGCACGCCGAAGACCUUUCCCACCCUUGACAUAACGCCAAAGUUUCAAAAAAGCAUUCCGUCCUUUGGGAAACCUUAAUCCGGUUCCGCCAGGGCGUUGUCCACCUGGGUUCUGAGGAGGUUGGGUUAAUUCCCCCAACAAGGCCACCCCUUUCCUUUUUUUCCAACGGGUUAGGUCGGGAACUCAAAGGAGACUGCCGGUGAUAAACCGGAGGAAGGUGGGGACGACGUCAAGUCAUCAUGGCCCUUACGGGUAGGGCUACACACGUGCUACAAUGGCGCGUACAGAGGGCAGCGAACUUGCGAGAGUAAGCGAAUCCCAAAAAGCGCGUCGUAGUCCGGAUCGGAGUCUGCAACUCGACUCCGUGAAGUCGGAAUCGCUAGUAAUCGUGGAUCAGAAUGCCACGGUGAAUACGUUCCCGGGCCUUGUACACACCGCCCGUCACACCAUGGGAGUGGGUUGCUCCAGAAGUAGAUAGCUUAACCUUCGGGAGGGCGUUACCACGGAGUAUUCCCGGG
rnacentral:rRNA from 1 species